CGUUGCAGAUCUAACUCAAAACAAUUAACGCGGGCCCGCACAGCGGUGGAGCAUGUNUUUAUUCCAACNACGCGAAGAACCUUACCAGGUCUUGACAUCAUCUGACAAUCGGGGGGAUAGGACGUCCCCUUCGGGGGCAGAGUGACAGGUGGUGCAUGGUUGUCGUCAGCUCGUGUCGUGAGAUGUUGGGUUAAGUCCCGCAACGAGCGCAACCCUUGAUCUUAGUUGCCAGCAUUCAGUUGGGCACUCUAAGGUGACUGCCGGUGACAAACCGGAGGAAGGUGGGGAUGACGUCAAAUCAUCAUGCCCCUUAUGACCUGGGCUACACACGUGCUACAAUGGACAGAACAAAGGGCAGCGAAACCGCGAGGUUAAGCCAAUCCCACAAAUCUGUUCUCAGUUCGGAUCGCAGUCUGCAACUCGACUGCGUGAAGCUGGAAUCGCUAGUAAUCGCGGAUCAGCAUGCCGCGGUGAAUACGUUCCCGGGCCUUGUACACACCGCCCGUCACACCACGAGAGUUUGUAACACCCGAAGUCGGUGAGGUAACCUUUU
rnacentral:rRNA from 1 species